UGGUACAUACAGCGAAGGAGACUCUUGAAGAUUCCCAGGCCUCGCCGUGUGUACGCAGCAGGCAGUGGGUACUCACCGAAGCGGGUUCGAAUCCUUCCCAGCAGGGUCGCAGAGCAAGCUUCAAGAGCGUUUCAUGCCUACCACUGCCCGGUGCUCACCUAGGCAGCGAAGUCCACUGCGCUUUCAUAGCCUCGGGGCUCCGGCGUGCCGGAGCAGGCUGGACCUCUGAGGUUCGGCCGGGCUCCCCGCCGCAGCCAAUCAGCAGCCGGCGAGGCGCGGCCACUUCCUGGUGGGAAGGCCGGGCUGUCUGCGGAGCUCGCUGGUCCGAGUGUCCCGCAUCGGGUUGCGCGCGGAUCCGGAGCGGCCGCGGCCAGCGCAGGCUUGGCGCCCAGUUCUCGUGUGCGUGUGGGGCUCCCGC
rnacentral:lncRNA from 1 species